rnacentral:rRNA from 1 species
AGAGUUUGAUCCUGGCUCAGGAUGAACGCUGGCGGCGUGCUUAACACAUGCAAGUCGAACGGGAAAUACUUUAUUGAAACUUCGGUCGAUUUAAUUUAUUUCUAGUGGCGGACGGGUGAGUAACGCGUGGGUAACCUGCCUUAUACCGGGGGAUAACAGCCAGAAAUGACUGCUAAUACCGCAUAAGCGCACAGAACCGCAUGGUUCGGUGUGAAAAACUCCGGUGGUAUAAGAUGGACCCGCGUUGGAUUAGCUAGUUGGCAGGGCAGCGGCCUACCAAGGCGACGAUCCAUAGCCGGCCUGAGAGGGUGAACGGCCACAUUGGGACUGAGACACGGCCCAGACUCCUACGGGAGGCAGCAGUGGGGAAUAUUGCACAAUGGGGGAAACCCUGAUGCAGCGACGCCGCGUGAAGGAAGAAGUAUCUCGGUAUGUAAACUUCUAUCAGCAGGGAAGAUAAUGACGGUACCUGACUAAGAAGCCCCGGCUAACUACGUGCCAGCAGCCGCGGUAAUACGUAGGGGGCAAGCGUUAUCCGGAUUUACUGGGUGUAAAGGGAGCGUAGACGGCGCAGCAAGUCUGAUGUGAAAGGCAGGGGCUUAACCCCUGGACUGCAUUGGAAACUGCUGUGCUUGAGUGCCGGAGGGGUAAGCGGAAUUCCUAGUGUAGCGGUGAAAUGCGUAGAUAUUAGGAGGAACACCAGUGGCGAAGGCGGCUUACUGGACGGUAACUGACGUUGAGGCUCGAAAGCGUGGGGAGCAAACAGAAAGAGAUACCCUGGUAGUCCACGCCGUAAACGA